rnacentral:rRNA from 1 species
UUUCCGUAGGUGAACCUGCGGAAGGAUCAUUACCGAGUGUAGGGUUCCUAGCGAGCCCAACCUCCCACCCGUGUUUACUGUACCUUAGUUGCUUCGGCGGGCCCGCCAUUCGUGGCCGCCGGGGGCUCUCAGCCCCGGGCCCGCGCCCGCCGGAGACACCACGAACUCUGUCUGAUCUAGUGAAGUCUGAGUUGAUUGUAUCGCAAUCAGUUAAAACUUUCAACAAUGGAUCUCUUGGUUCCGGCAUCGAUGAAGAACGCAGCGAAAUGCGAUAACUAGUGUGAAUUGCAGAAUUCCGUGAAUCAUCGAGUCUUUGAACGCACAUUGCGCCCCCUGGUAUUCCGGGGGGCAUGCCUGUCCGAGCGUCAUUGCUGCCCAUCAAGCACGGCUUGUGUGUUGGGUCGUCGUCCCCUCUCCGGGGGGGACGGGCCCCAAAGGCAGCGGCGGCACCGCGUCCGAUCCUCGAGCGUAUGGGGCUUUGUCACCCGCUCUGUAGGCCCGGCCGGCGCUUGCCGAACGCAAAUCAAUCUUUUUCCAGGUUGACCUCGGAUCAGGUAGGGAUACCCGCUGAACUUAA